UUAAAAGCCUUGAGCCCGGGCCUCCCCCAGCCCUGCCGAAUCAGCAUCUCUGGGCGGGACGGCAAGGCCAGUCAUUAGUUGCCAAAGUUCUCAAGGUGAUUCCAAUUCAAGCCUCUGCGCUAGAGCCGUGGCUCAGUUUGAGGAGCGUCGGGGCUCCUGGAGGUUGUUAAACCCACGUUGUAGGGCCCCAGCCCCAGUUCCUGGAUGCAGCUGUUGGAGUGAGCUGAAAAUCCGCUGCAGAGCCUGCAUUUCAGAGUUCCCAGGUGGUGCCACUGUCACGGUAACAGCAGCAGUCUCCAGAACCUUCUGUAGGCCUCUACGUGCUCACGGGUUAGACCACCGAGACCACCCAUGGAUUUUAUGUACCAGACACACAGUGCAGGCCUCGUGCGCAGUGUGUCUAACGUGCUGUGUAAAUGCAGACCCGUUCCAGUGCCCUUGGAGGUGGAGAUUGUGGUCCUUGUUUUAUAGGCAGGGACAGUGAGGGGACCGUGACCGCUGUUGGGGCCAGGCAUCUGGCUGCAGCUCCCAGGCUCUCACCCCUUUGCUGUGCUCCUUUGUAGCUUGGAGGGAUUGAUUUUUAUCCCCAUCUUGCAGAUGGGGAAAGUGAGGCUCAGAGAAGUCAAGGACUAGUUUCUGAGGUCACGUGGCUAGGAAGCUAACAGCCAGGAGCCGAGCUCAGAUUUGCCUGACUUCCGCCCAUGCCGGCGGGUGGUGUGUGUGUGUUGGGGAAUCUUCUCCUUGGAGAGGGGCCAGUCCUGCCCCACGGCGCCAUCUCUGCACAGGUAACAGCAUCAGUCAGGCACCCUGCAUUCCACCCUGCGCCUCGCAGGGGUUUCCACUAACUCUGCUAUCUGCCAGGCCAGCCCGUGGACCCCACCGCCCCCUGGGUGAGCGUUCCCAACAUCAGAGCUCUGCAGCGGGCAGUGAGGGGAGCAUGGGUCAGGGUGGGGCAGGACUGGGAGGGGCACCCUUCUGUGCUGCGUCCUGUCCCUGCCUCCCCUGGGUUCACACCCCAGGGAGGAGGGAGAAAGCCGGGGUUGGGGGCAAGGGGCAGUUCCUGCUCUCCCAGGCCCUACAAGGCAUGCACGAGGCUAAAAUUCAGAAGCCAGCAGGACGCCCAGGUCUCCUGAGCCUGUGCAUCUAAUCUGCUCACCCGGGAGAGGACGGCACUGGCGUGGGCGGGUCAGAAGAAGCAGGAGGACCCUUCCAUGACCCAGGACAGGCUGGCCCUCAGUGACCAGAGCCCCCAUGCUGGGCACAGGGCUGCCACCUUGGGCGGUGACCUCCCCAGCUGCCGCACUUCCGAGUGAGCCCCCCGUCACUGGUGUCUGCCCUCUUGAGUGAGGGAGGGGCUCGGUAGGGCCGGGUCGUGAUCAGAGCCGGAGUUGGCCUUUGUGGGUGUUGGCCUCGCCUGCUCUUUUGCCCGGUGGCAGUAAAGAAUAUUCGUACAGAGUGUGGGUUUUGGAAGCAGACGUGCCUGGUAGGGGUCCUGGCUCAGAUGCUUCCCCGAUGUUAGCACCUGGGUAAGUGGCUUAACCUCAUCACUCGGUGUUGGCAUCUGUAAAAUGGGCACAAUAACAUGCUCACGUCUCCCUCGGGGGGCUGUGUGAGAAUCGAUUCAGUGGCCUGUGGAAACCCCUAGCGUGGCCCGGAUGCAUGGUGAGUGGCUUUGGCGGCGUCAGCCUUCAUGGUCGGUGGGAGACCCUAGCUCUCCCGGGUGAGAUCGGGGUAAGAGAAAGCAGAGUCGGUCCCCAGCAGGUGUGGCUGGGAGGAUGUUCAGGGCUGGUGGGAAUAUUGGGGGUCACUGUGCUCCCAGUGGACAGGGUGUCCGGUAGGGUCUAUAGAUGAGCCCCACUUCUAAGCCUUGCCCUGGGUCCACAAAUCAGCCAGAGUUACUGGGUGUGGGGCUUCCUCCAUGUCAGGGAUGAGGGGGGAACAGAAGGGCUGGAUCCAGGGCUAACCCUGUGGGGAGGGCUCAGGUCUCCACCUCUUGUUGCUGUGUGGCCUUGGGCAAGUGACCUCACCUCUCUGAGCCUCUGUGUGCCCUGGGGAAGUGACACCAUGCCUGCUGCUGUCUUGGUAUUUCACAAGUGUUCAGCAAAUGCCAGCAGACCGUGUCCUUCAGACACGGCAGCUGGGGUUCCUGACUGCCGGGCUACUGCUGGGGUGGCUCAGGAAGGUUUUUCUGUCCCCGCUACAAAACAAAAAAGCAGCUGACGCAGGAGUUUCGGUAAAGAUAACGUACAUUUGAUUUAAAAGAAUGCUCUUUAUUCUGACAUUUGGCCAUCCCAUCUUUGUGGGUUUUUUUUUUUUUUAAAUUUGGAUGUGAAAAAGACAUUCCUUUAUUUGUAAUUGCCCAAAGUCGGAAGCAACAAAGUUGCCAUUGAAUAGGGAAGUGGAUAAGCAAACAGCCGUGAGGAUGCGGAGCAGCCUUCGAUGUAUGCUGCUCAGCGGGAGAAGCCCCUGUGAAGGGGCCACAUCCCAUGGGGUUCCAACUAGAUGGCAUUCUGGAAGAGGCAGAACUCUGGAGAAAGUGGCAAGAUCAGUGGUUGCCCAGGGUUGGGGGCGGGAAGGGACGGACAGGUGGAGCCCCGGAGAUUUGUAGGGCAGUGAAACUCCUCUGAGAUACUCUAAUGGCGGGUAUAUGUCUGGAUGCCUUUGUGCACACCCAUGGAAGGCGUGGACCCUGAUGAAAACCAUGGCUCUGGUUAAUAACGUAUCCGUCUUGGCCCAUCAAUUGUGACAGAUGUACAAGAUGCUAAUAUCAGGGGAAGUGGGGGGCGAGGGGAUACAGUGGAUGGGAACUCUCUGUACUUUCCACUCAUUUUUCUCUAAAGUUAAAACUGCUCUAAAGUAUUUUUUAAAAAGGAAAAGUUAAAAAAAAAAAAGACCUAGUGCGAUGAACCAAUGUGGAGAGUAGAAGCAGCAAGGUAAAAACGUUGCCCAGAGUCCACUCUGGAAGCCGCUUGGGGUGUGGCUGCUCCACUCAGUUGACUCUCGUCCCCACAGCACAGAUUAGUGAACCUUUAGCCCCCACACUGGAGGCACUGGCCUUCCACCUGGUUGGGGUGAAGACGCACCUGGGUCCUAUUUGCUACUCUCCUCGUGGUGAAGACGCACCUGGGUCCUGUCUGCUACUCUCCUCGGGGUGAAGACACACCCGGGUCCUAUUUGCUACUCUCCUUGGGGUGAAGACACACCCAGGUCCCAUUUGCUACUCUCCUCGGGGUGAAGACGCACCUGGGUCCUGUUUGCUACUCUCCUCGGGGUGAAGACACACCCGGGUCCUAUUUGCUACUCUCCUCGGGGUGAAGACGCACCUGGGUCCUAUUUGCUGCCCACCUCUGGGGUCAGCUGCUGUUCCUGGCACCUCCCACCCUAGGGAGAUGGUGUCUGCACAUGGUGCUUUUGGCCUCUGGCAUGUGCACCCUGUCACAAUCAUCUUCCUCGCCCUCAUCUGCAGACCUUCUGACACCACCCCUGCUGACUCCUCUCCCUUUGUCCUUCUGAGGAGAUCCUGGACCUGCCCCUUCCUGGCAUUCCCCAGCAUACUUCCAAAUACGCAAGGACAAGGCAUCUGCCAGCCAGUCCUCUACGGGGAGCAGGACUGUGCAUCGAGGCUGGGCUCAGGUCUUCACCCACCUCGACAACAUGAGUCCCCUCUGAGCCUUAGUUUCUGUGGCUGGAAAAAUGAGGUUACUAUCACUAUUGUGAGAAUCUUCUCAUAAAUGCAUCUUUCCUUCCCCUUCUCUAACAUGUUUAAUCCUUAUUGAGAUACUAUGUGCCCAUAGUUUAAGGUGUCAUUUGGUGCUAAAAACAAAUUAGAGGUUGGAGCAAAAAUCGUUUGUUUUCAGAGACCACCAUGUUUCCAAGUGUGUGUGAUUGCCGCUUCCUGAGCUCAUGCUCACUUUUAGCCAUUAUCUGUUGACUUCCUACUGUAGUAGAUGGAGAUUUUCAAUAUCUUAGACCCCCAUCCUCUCCCCGCUAUCUCAAUAUUGCUAUGUUGCUUUUUUUUGUUAAAUCCAUAACUCAGUGUUUUUCAUUAUGACUAUGUGAGUAUUGCUUACUGCUGAGCCAGGCAAUGGAGUCUGAUUCUGUACACUUCUCAUGCAUAGCUUGAGUUAGUAAUUGUCUCGCUUUUUUUCAAUUGCAGUUUUCUUUAAAUCACCAGUUAAUUCUUUUUUCAGCUUCCAGCUGCUCAGUGAAACACCUCUCAAAUGCAGCUUGCACUUGAGCAAACCUGCCAGAUUCUCUCAGUAAUACACACAAACGUACAAAUACGUUUGUUUAUCGUUCGAUUGCCUUCUUCCCAAUUCUUCCUCUGUCUUCCUGGAUAUUUCCUUCACCUCUCCUGUGUCUCACCUCUGAGCAACCGCGCCCGGCCUCCUCAUGUCUUCUUUCAUGGUUUCCUCCCUCAUUUGAGUGGAGCACAUCCUGGAGUAGCUUCCUAAGAAAGGAUGCAAGGAAGAUAUAGUUUCUGUGGCUUGAUUAUUUGAUAAAUUGGUAUGCAUAGUAUGCUAGGUUGAAAAUCAUUUUUGCUGUUAAUUUGGGGCAGUGGAGGUGCAGUUUUCCACUGACUUCUAGGUUCAGUGGUGCUCUUGAAAAGCCCUUGCUGUUCUGAUUCUCGGUCCUUCAUUUGUGAUCUGUUUUUGGUUUUCUCUGGAAGCAUUUAGGGUCUUUGUUGUUUGAGUUCUGAAUUUCAUGCCACUGUGUCUUGGUUGGGUGUCUCUCCCCUCAUUGUGUGGUAUCUGUGAGCCCUCCAGUCUGGACGCUCACACCCCUCCAUUCCAGGAGACUUUCUUGUUUAGAUCUUUGCUUAUUUUCCUUUCCUGCUUUCUAGAACUCCUGAUAUUUAGAGUUUGGGUGUUCUGGGAAUCCUUUAAUUUUCUUACUGUUUUGCCUACCUCUUUUUUUGUUUUAGUUUCUGAAAGAUUUUCUUGAUUUUUAUCUUCCAGCUCAUUUACCAAAACAUUUCUUUUAGCUAUUAUACUUUUAAUUUCCAGGAGCUUUUUUCCCUAGUCUUUCCUUUUAAAUAGCAUUUUAUUCUCAUUUUGUAUUUUAUCUCAGAAUUUAAACCCUGGUCCCUCAAUGUCUUCUCCCACCUGCUGCAUUUUUUGAUUCCUCCUUUUUUUCCCCCCACUUAUUUGUAUGUUUUGGUCUUUUUCUUCCCUGCCAGGGCUUCUCCUUAUGUCUGAGGAUGGUUGACUGUUCAUGUAUGAAAGUGAGGUACCAAAAAGCUGAGUGGAAACUUUGUGUGGCAGCCUUCGCUUCUGGCUGCAGUCUGUUUUUUCAGAGGAAUUCUCCAUCUCUCUCCUGGAUGAAGUAAUUCUCCUGUUUGGGUGGGGAAGCAGGCAGGGUCUCUCAGUUCAGAAUGAACACUUUCUCAGUGCCUGCUGAAGCAUUGGCGAAAAAAAGAGCACUUCCCUAGCACUCCUGUGCCUCCCCCGACCCUCCUCCGACCCUCCUCUGCCUGGUGCCCCUGGGGUAAGCUUGUCUGAUUCUGUUUGCUUAGAAACUUUUCUUCCUGGGUUCUGCAGAAGGAGAAAAAACUCUCUUCCGUUCAUUCAUUAUUUAUAUUUUUCAGCAAUCUGGCUUUUUAUCCUUUUUCUUGGUUUGUCCUAACUUUGUUUUAAGAGAUGGAGUCUUGCUCUGUCAUCCAGGCUGGAGUGCAGUGGCAUGAUCACUGCAGCCUCAACCUCCUCGGCUCUAGCCCUUCCUGGGCUGAAGCAACUGGACUACAGGUGUGCACCACUACACACACUAAUUUAAACAAAACUGUGGCUGGGUGCAGUGACUCACACCUGUAAUCCCAGCACUUUGGGAGGCCGAGGCGGGUAGAUCACUUGAGGUCAGGAGUUCAACACCAGCCUAGCCAACAUAGUGAAACUUCAUCUCUAUUAAAAACACAAAAAUUAGCCAGGCAUGGAGGUGUGCACUUGUAAUCCCAGCUACUCGGGAGGCUGAAGUGGCAGAAUUGCUAGAACCUGGGAGGUGGAGGUUGCAGUGAGCUGAGAUCAUGCCACUGCACUCCAGCCUGGGCAACAGAGCCGGACUCCGUCUCAAAAAAAAAAAAAAAAUUUGGUAGAGACGGGGUCUUGCUGUGUUGCCCAGGCUGGUCUGGAGCUCUGGGGCUCAAGCCGUCUUUCUGCCUCAGCCUCCCAAAGCGCUGGGAUUACAGGUGUGAGCCACUACACCUCUCCUGUCCUAACUUUUGCUUCUUUAUUUAUAUAGUUAAUCACCUCGCUAGAGACUAAGAAUUCUGUGUUCUUGGGCUGCCAUCACAAAAUACCACAGACAGCGUGGCUUAAACCACAGUUUAUUUCCUUGCAGUUCUAAGGCUGGAAGGUCAAGGUCAAGGUGCCGGGAGAGUUGGUUCUUCUUUGUCUUCAUGGGCUUGUCCCUCUGUAUAUCUCUGAGUCCCUUCUUAGAAAGACACCAGGCCUAUUGGAUUAGGGCCCCCAGUGCCUUCAUCUUUACCUCAGCCACCUGUUUAAAGACCUUAUCUAUCUCCAAAGAAGGUGACACUCUAAGGUGACAGAGGGUGGGGGGGGAUGGGUGGGCAGGACUUCAGCAUAUGCAUUUUGGAGAAAUACAAUUAAGUCCAUAGCAAAUUCCAGCAGACAUCACUAUUCAGCGCUCCGCUAAGAUUAACCAAAAAAA